rnacentral:rRNA from 1 species
CAGCAGCCGCGGUAAUACGUAGGGUGCAAGCGUUAAUCGGAAUUACUGGGCGUAAAGCGUGCGCAGGCGGUUAUAUAAGACAGAUGUGAAAUCCCCGGGCUCAACCUGGGAACUGCAUUUGUGACUGUAUAGCUAGAGUACGGCAGAGGGGGAUGGAAUUCCGCGUGUAGCGGUGAAAUGCGUAGAGAUCUGGAGGAAUACCGAUGGCGAAGGCAGCCAUCUGGCCUAAUACUGACGCUCAUGCACGAAAGCGUGGGGAGCAAACAGGAUUAGAUACCCGCGUAGUCCCUGUCUCUUAUAC